GAUGAACGCUGGCGGCGUGCUUAACACAUGCAAGUCGAACGAAGCAUUUAAGACAGAAGCCUUCGGGUGGAAGAUUUAAAUGACUGAGUGGCGGACGGGUGAGUAACGCGUGGGCAACCUGCCUCAUACAGGGGGAUAACACUCAGAAAUGGGUGCUAAUACCGUAUAAGCUUAAAGAAUCGCAUGAUUCAGUAAGAAAAACUCCGGUGGUAUGAGAUGGGCCCGCGUCUGAUUAGCUAGUUGGUAGGGUAAUGGCCUACCAAGGCGACGAUCGGUAGCAGACCUGAGAGAGUGACGGGCCACAUUGGGACUGAGACACGGCCCAAACUCCUACGGGAGGCAGCAGUGGGGAAUAUUGCACAAUGGGCGCAAGCGUGACGGAGCAACGCCGCGUGAGUGAAGAAGGCCUUCGGGUCGUAAAGCUCUGUCUUUAGGGAAGAACAGCAGUAGUGCGAAUAGUGCUAUCGCCUGACGGUACCUGGGGAGGAAGCUCCGGCUAACCACGUGCCAGCCGCCGCCGUAAAAC
rnacentral:rRNA from 1 species